rnacentral:lncRNA from 1 species
GGAUUGAACUCAUGGCCUUUGCUCUGAGCUAUAUCCCCAGGCCUCUUUUUACUUCUUAAUUUCGAGAUGAGGCCUCUCUAGGUCACUAAGUUGUCCAGGCUGAGGUCGGACUUGUGACCCUCCUGCCUCAGCCUCUCAGAGGGCUGGGCCUAUUAUGAUUGCAGUGUGAGUUUUAAAAUGGUAGUUGAAGCAGGGGGAUGAGGGAGGAAAACGAGGUAAAAGAAGGUAACUUCAUUUCCUCCACAGUUACUAACUCCCUUGUCCCCAAGCUUGUACACAGUCUGGUGACAUUCCUGGGCAGAAGCUACUUGUCUGUGCCUGGACCCUGCAUUUGCAUCCUGCUGGCUGCCAUUUUGCUCUGCUGAGCUGUGGGGUGUGGGAUUAAAGGCCCUUUGCCUAAGUGAACAGUUUCUCUGCCUUCCUGACAGCUGUGAGAAAUUCUGAUUGACAAGAGGGCAGAUUCUAAGCUGGGAGCAGGGCAGAGGGGACAAUGUGACAGUCCCUGGCGAGAAAGACAUGUCCCCACGUGCGUGCUGCGAGGCCCCACUGGUGUCAGAUGGAUCACAAAGCUCCUCUUUGGUGUUGGGUAUUUAAAGCCAGCGACAAGGAAAGUGACUAAGACAGAUGACAAACUUGAGGCCAGCCUAGGCUACUUAGUGACACCAUGUCCAAACAAACAAACAAACAAACACCAACAAGGUCAUUGCUGCAUCUAAUCGUGCUGCACAUGGACUGAAGCCUCUGAACCGUGAGCCGAAAUAAACCUCUCCUCUCUCAAGUUGUGGGUGGCAGAUUCUUUGCUCCGCCAAGAGGAAAAGUGACUGACAGUGCACCUCUGACUUCUGUGUCUAUCAGUUAGCAGAUACAAGUCUGUUUCUCUAAAUCGGUUACUGAGGGCUUCAGAAAUCCCAGGGAAGGCACCAGUCACUCGGUUCGUUUCAGCAGUAUUUAUUUGUGACGUCCUGCUCAGUGCAGCAGUCAUCUUUUCUGCCAUCCACAUGAUCUUUAUGUGCCAUGGCCACCUGGCAGGCUCCGUUCAGGACCUAGUGAGCCUUAUAGGUGGGAUGAUUUCCAGGUUUAUGAAUGACUUUUCCAUUAUUAUGGAAUUAAUCCUUUUGAUUUGGGGUUCUGGAUGGGUUUCUGAUGUUGUUCAAGAUCGAGCUGUAGAAGCAGCAGUUGCCUCCACCUUUGUAUUCUUUUAGGAGAAAUUAAUCCGGUAUAUUAUGCAAACAAAUAGAAGAAUGGUAAGUUAAAUAUUCUCUUUAUGUGUGUCCUGUUAAUUAGUCUCCUGAUAUCACAUUUAUAAUUUUAAUUUUUAUGUUUUGGAAAUACUGUAACGAUGUUAAAAUGAAAAAAAAAAAAUGUCCCAUCCCACUACUUUAAACAAAUUGACAGCUUUCAAUCUUUUUUGGGUCAUUUCAGUUCCUUUUAAUAUGUGUAUAUGAUUUUUGCAUAGCAGAAUAGAGCUGAUAGUAAUAAUUCUAAUAAAAAGUAAAGCCAUUAUUUAUGAGCC